AAGAAGUUCACGUCUCCAUCUACCAGUAAGCACAAUAAUUCAAGCAAAGAUUCAAAUUAAAUAACUCUCCAAGAUCAAUACAGCAAAUCCAGGGCAAUGAUUCAAUUACAUAAAAUGAAAUGCAAUUACAAACAAACAGAAGCAAGAGUGACGUGUAGUCACAAAGAUUUGCAAAUACAAAUAAAAUUUUGUGAUCUGCUAAGCCAGUGCUCUCAUGGCAGCAUUCCUCUCUGCCAGUUGUUUGCUUUUCUUUCGUUCAAAUAGCAUUUUGCCAAACUAGGGUCCAUGAAAAAUCAACAUACCCAUCUAACGUUUUUCAGAUGGCCAACCUGCACACCAUAUUUUUUCAUUGAAGACCAUAGCAAUUGAGUUAAUAUGCGACGCCAAGCAAGCAUAUCUGAUUGCGGAGUUGCCACGUUAUGGAUAUACAACAGAGUGGAACUAUGCCGUGAAUUUGCAACAGAUUCUUCAAUUUGUGUUGUCUGUGGAUUGUGGCCUUGUGGAGGUUCGAUUUGCGCCGUUUAUGGACUUCGAUCUGUGUUGUUGAUUGAUAGGUUUUAGAAGAGGCUAAUGGAUUCAGAACAGGCAAAGAACAAAGAGCGAAGAAGAAUAAAAAGAGACAAAGCAAGCAUGAGAAGAUGAUAAAAUAAAAGGGCGUUGGGGUGUUCUCUUGAGAAAAGACAGAACAAACAGAUAUAUUUCACUUUAUUUUUCAUUAUUUUCUUACUUGGCUGUAGCAAUACACAUGGAUAUAUUAA
rnacentral:misc_RNA from 1 species